rnacentral:tRNA from 1 species
GAGGUUGUAUUUUAGUGGUAGAGCGCUUGCCUCAUGUUGGAGGCCCUGGGUUCGAUUCUCAGCACCACA